rnacentral:miRNA from 1 species
GGUGACAGAAGAGAGUGAGCAC